rnacentral:rRNA from 1 species
CCUACGGGAGGCAGCAGUGAGGAAUAUUGGUCAAUGGCCGGAAGUCUGAACCAGCCAAGUCGCGUGAGGGACGACUGCCCUAUGGGUUGUAAACCUCUUUUAUAUGGGAAUAAUAUAUUCCACGUGUGGGAUUUUGUCUGUACCAUAUGAAUAAGGAUCGGCUAACUCCGUGCCAGCAGCCGCGGUAAUACGGAGGAUGCGAGCGUUAUCCGGAUUUAUUGGGUUUAAAGGGUGCGUAGGCGGAUUUUUAAGUUAGUUGUGAAAGUGUGCGGCUUCACCGUAAAAUUGCAAUUGAAACUGGCAGUCUCGAGUACAGUAGAGGUAGGCGGAAUUCGUGGUGUAGCGGUGAAAUGCUUAGAUAUCACGAAGAACCCCGAUUGCGAAGGCAGCUCACUAGACUGUAACUGACAUUGAUGCUCGAAAGUGUGGGUAUCAAACAGGAUUAGAUACCCUUGUAGUC